rnacentral:sRNA from 1 species
AUCGGGAUAUUUCCUGACAAAGACAGAUCUCUGUGCUUCUGCAGGACAUCAAAGAAAUUAAUGACGGAAAGAUUCCAUUCUAUUUCUAAAGUGCCUCGUGGAGCUUGAACAUAGCCAGGGCUACUGGCUGCUCGCCUUAAGGGUGUAUCAUUUUAACUGGAGUUAUCAGAAAAAGACACCGUUUGGAGUUGUACAAAGAAAAUUUGGAAGGAAAAGCAGACAGGCAGUAGCAAUGCUGAUCCCACCCCAGGGCUAGAAGGCAAUAUUUCCCACCAGGAAAGGGAUAAAACACUAUCUGAUACUAUGAAGUACAAGAAGGAUGGUUCUAUAGCUUUGCACAACGGUGGAAAUCUACCAGGAUUAUAUUGUAAGUAUCUAUUUAACCAGCAAAAUGAAAACUAGGAAACGAUUUGUUAUCACAGUCCCCUGAG